rnacentral:rRNA from 1 species
AAUCAACGCUGGCGGCGUGCCUCAGACAUGCAAGUCGAACGCGAAAGUUUCCUUCGGGGAACAAGUAGAGUGGCGCACGGGUGGGUAACACGUAGGUAAUCUACCUUUGGAUGGGGAAUAACAACCGGAAACGGUUGCUAAUACCGCAUAAUGCAGCGGCACCUAAUGGUGACAGUUGUUAAAGCGGGGGAGUCGAAAGAACCUCGCGUCUGAAGAGGAGCCUGCGGCGGAUUAG